GGGUCGUCAUCACUGUAUGCUUUAGCGGCCCUUCUUGCCCUUGUUGGCAGCCAUGGGGUCCUUGCGGAUGCGGAUGCUCUUGGGCGUCACCUCCACCUGCUCGUCGUCGUUGAUGUACUCGAGCGAGUCGUCCAGGCCCAUGCUGCGGGGCUCGUCCAGGCCCACCUUGGUGUCCUUGCCGGCGGCGCGCAUGUUGGUCAGCUGCUUGGUCUUGCAGAUGUUGACCUUCAGGUCUCCCGCCUUGGCGUGCAUGCCAAUCACCUGGCCCUCGUACACCUGGUCGCCGGGGCGGCAGAACAUCUGGCCGCGGUCCUGCGCGCUCUCCAGAGCGUACGUCGUGGCCUGGCCGGUCUCGUGCGCCACCAGAGAGCCGUUCUCGCGCAUCAGAAUCUCGCCCGCAACAGGGGCGUACCUGUGGAGGACAGGGGAGGAGGAAUGGGCCGAUGCCGCAGGUUAGCCACCAGGCAGCGCUGUCUUGCUUCUGCACAGUCUCUGGGUUUACUGCACAGAGCAAAGUAGACGUCGGGUCGCCAUGGCCGCGCACUUACUCGAGGAACAGGGUGUUCAUGACGCCCAGGCCGCGGGUGGCGGUCAGCAGCGAGUUCUUCAGGCCCAGUAGGCCGCGGGUGGCGAUACGGAACUUGAUGCGCGAGGCGCCCUGGAUCGAGGGGAUCAGGUCCACCAUCUCGCCCUUCCGCUGGGCGAACAGCUCCACGACGGCGCCCACGUACUGCUCCGGCACGUCCACAAUGGC
rnacentral:lncRNA from 1 species